rnacentral:rRNA from 1 species
CCUACGGGUGGCAGCAGUAGGGAAUCUUCCACAAUGGGCGAAAGCCUGAUGGAGCAACGCCGCGUGGGUGAAGAAGGUCUUCGGAUCGUAAAACUCUGUUGUUAGAGAAGUAAGUGCGUGAGAGUAACUGUUCACGUUUCGACUGUAUCUAACCAGAAAGCCACGGCUAACUACGUGCCAGCAGCCGCGGUAAUACGUAGGUGGCAAGCGUUAUCCGGAUUUAUUGGGCGUAAAGGGAACGCAGGCGGUCUUUUAAGUCUGCUGUGAAAGCCUUCGGCUUAACCGGAGUAGUGCAUUGGAAACUGGGAGACUUGAGUGCAGGAGAGGAGAGAGGAACUCGAUGUGUAGCGGUGAAAUGCGUAGAUAUAUGGAAGAACACCAGUGGCGAAAGCAGCUCUCUGGUCUGUAACUGACGCUGAGGUUCGAAAGCGUGGGUAGCAAACAGGAUUAGAUACCCUGGUAGUC